rnacentral:rRNA from 1 species
GAGUUUGAUCCUGGCUCAGGAUGAACGCUAGCGGAACGCCUAACACAUGCAAGUCGAACGGAUUCUGCGUUGUAGCAAUACAUAGUAGAAUUAGUGGCAAACGAGCGAGUAACGCGUGCCUAACCUGCCCUUAAGAUGGGAACAACUACGGAGACGUAGCUAAAUCCCAAUAUGCUCACGAUGGUGAAAUGCCGAUGCGAGGAAAGAUUUAUCGCUUAAGGAGGGGGGCGCGUCCUAUCAGGUAGUUGGUUGAGGUAACGGCUCACCAAGCCUAUGACAGGUAGCUGGUCUGAGAUGAUGUCCAGCCGCGAUGGGACUGAGAUACGGCCCAUACUCCUACGGGAGGCAGCAGUGGGGAAUCUUGCACAAUGGACGAAAGUCUGAUGCAGCGAUCCCGCGUGAAGGAUGAAGCAUUACGGUGUGUAAACUUCUUUUUUGGUGGAAGACGAAUGACGGUACACCAAGAAUAAGAGACGGCUAACUACGUGCCAGCAGCCGCGGUAAUACGUAGGUCUCAAGCGUUAUCCGGAUUUACUGGGCGUAAAGUAUCCGUAGCCUGAUAUGUAAGUCUGUUUUCAAAUCCCACGACUCAAUCGUGGAAAGGGAAUGGAUACUGCAUAUCUAGAAGUUAUUGGGGGUUAGUGGAAUUUCCGGUGGAGCGGUGAAAUGCGUUGAUAUCGGAAAGAACGCCGAAAGCGAAAGCAGCUAACUAUGAUUAACUUGACGGUGAGGGAUGAAAGUUUGGGUAGCAAACGGGAUUAGAUACCCCGGUAGUCCAAACUGUAAAUUAUGCUUGCUAGGUGUUUCGAUCCUUGUGGUCGGAGUGCCGUAAUCUAACGAGUUAAGCAAGUCGCCUGGGUAGUAUAUUCGUGAAGAAUGAAACUCGACGGGAUAGGCGGGGGUAC